UACGAGGGGGGCAAGCGUUGUUCGGAAUUACUGGGCGUAAAGCGCAUGUAGGCGGCCGCGCAAGUCGGGCGUGAAAUCCCACGGCUCAACCGUGGAAGUGCACUCGAAACUGCGCAGCUAGAGUCCUGGAGAGGAAGGUGGAAUGCUUGGUGUAGAGGUGAAAUUCGUAGAUAUCAAGCGGAACACCGGUGGCGAAGGCGGGUCUCUGGGCCGAUACUGACACUGAGGAGCGAAAGCGUGGGGAGCGAACAGG
rnacentral:rRNA from 1 species